rfam:Gossypium arboreum cultivar AKA8401 contig_3122_3, whole genome shotgun sequence.
UGUUAAAUAUUUCAUCUAUUUUUACUGCUAAAAACUGACGCGGUUGACAGAAUAAUCAAAUAGUGACACGUGACAUGCCACAUGUACCUUAUGCUAACGUACAUGAUUCAGUUUUUAACAGCAAAAAUGAAUAGAAAUUUUUUUUAACA